rnacentral:rRNA from 1 species
UACGGGGGGGGCAAGCGUUGUUCGGAAUUACUGGGCGUAAAGGGCUCGUAGGCGGCCAACUAAGUCAGACGUGAAAUCCCUCGGCUUAACCGGGGAACUGCGUCUGAUACUGGAUGGCUUGAGUUUGGGAGAGGGAUGCGGAAUUCCAGGUGUAGCGGUGAAAUGCGUAGAUAUCUGGAGGAACGCCGGUGGCGAAGGCGGCAUCCUGGACCAACACUGACGCUGAGGAGCGAAAGCCAGGGGAGCAAACGGG